GAUGAACGCUGGCGGCGUGCUUAACACAUGCAAGUCGAACGGAAAGGCCCAAGCUUGCUUGGGUACUCGGGUGGCGAACGGGUGAGUAACACGUGGGUGAUCUGCCCUGCACUUCGGGAUAAGCCUGGGAAACUGGGUCUAAUACCGGAUAGGACGAUGGUUUGGAUGCCAUUGUGGAAAGUUUUUUCGGUGUGGGAUGAGCUCGCGGCCUAUCAGCUUGUUGGUGGGGUAAUGGCCUACCAAGGCGUCGACGGGUAGCCGGCCUGAGAGGGUGUACGGCCACAUUGGGACUGAGAUACGGCCCAGACUCCUACGGGAGGCAGCAGUGGGGAAUAUUGCACAAUGGGCGCAAGCCUGAUGCAGCGACGCCGCGUGGGGGAUGACGGCCUUCGGGUUGUAAACUCCUUUCGCUAGGGACGAAGCGUUUUUGUGACGGUACCUGGAGAAGAAGCACCGGCUAACUACGUG
rnacentral:rRNA from 1 species